GGAAUCACGAGGUAGCAAUACUUUGGUGGCGACCGGCGCACGGGUGCGUAACGCGUAUGUAACCUACCUAUAACAGGGGCAUAACACUGAGAAAUUGGUACUAAUUCCCCAUAAUAUUCGGAGAGGCAUCUCUCCGGGUUGAAAACUCCGGUGGUUAUAGAUGGACAUGCGUUGUAUUAGCUAGUUGGUGAGGUAACGGCUCACCAAGGCAACGAUACAUAGGGGGACUGAGAGGUUAACCCCCCACACUGGUACUGAGACACGGACCAGACUCCUACGGGAGGCAGCAGUGAGGAAUAUUGGUCAAUGGACGCAAGUCUGAACCAGCCAUGCCGCGUGCAGGAAGACGGCUCUAUGAGUUGUAAACUGCUUUUGUACGAGGGUAAACUCACCUACGUGUAGGUGACUGAAAGUAUCGUACGAAUAAGGAUCGGCUAACUCCGUGCCAGCAGCCGCGGUAAUACGGAGGAUUCAAGCGUUAUCCGGAUUUAUUGGGUUUAAAGGGUGCGUAGGCGGUUUGAUAAGUUAGAGGUGAAAUCCCGGGGCUUAACUCCGGAACUGCCUCUAAUACUGUUAGACUAGAGAGUAGUUGCGGUAGGCGGAAUGUAUGGUGUAGCGGUGAAAUGCUUAGAGAUCAUACAGAACACCGAUUGCGAAGGCAGCUUACCAAACUAUAUCUGACGUUGAGGCACGAAAGCGUGGGGAGCAAACAGGAUUAGAUACCCUGGUAGUCCACGCAGUAAACGAUGAUAACCCGUUGUCGGCGAUACACAGUCGGUGACUAAGCGAAAGCGAUAAGUUAUCCACCUGGGGAGUACGUUCGCAAGAAUGCAACUCAAAGGAAUUGACG
rnacentral:rRNA from 1 species